CUCUUUAAACGGCCGUGGUAUCGUAACCGUGCAAAGGUAGCAUAAUCACUUGUCCCCUAAAUCGGGACUAGAAUGAAUGGCUAAAUGAGGACUAAACUGUCUCUUACAGGCUAGCCAAUGAAAUUGAUCUUCCAGUACAAAAGCUGGAAUACACCCAUAAGACGAGAAGACCCUGUGGAGCUUCAAAACCAAACCAUUCAGUAUGUCCCUUGGUUUUUUAGUUGGGGCGACUUCGGAAUACAACAAAACUUCCAAAAUAAGAUUAAUCCAUUAAGGUUAACACACCAAAAUCUUCACAUUGACCCAGCAACUAACUUUUUGUCUGACCAAUGAACCAAGUUACCCCAGGGAUAACAGCGCAAUCUCCUUUUAGAGUUCAUAUCGACAAGGGGGUUUACGACCUCGAUGUUGGAUCAGGACACCCCAAUGGUGCAGCC
rnacentral:rRNA from 1 species